CUAAGGUCUGCUAAGUAGCAUGGAGUGGUGGCUAACAGCAUGAACUUUAAACCAGACUUUCAAGGUUUGCACCUGGGCUCUACCACCUUUUAACUGUGAGACUUUGGUGGUCUGGAACUGGAUGCAUAGUAUCUCCACGGUAUCCCUGUAUAUAUAUGUGCAUAUAUAUUUGCAUGUAUGUACAUGUAUGUAUAUAUAUCACCGGGAAUAAACUUUAAAAGAAACUUAAAAUGUAUGAAGAUCUACCUGAAGGAAAGAACAAAACUUUACCAAGGACUUCAAGAACUCAGGAAGAAAUGCCAAAGGAAAGCUUUCAGAAGGAUUUUGAACAGCAGCAGCAUAUUGAAAUAAAUGUACACAGCCUGGAUAGCUGGAAACACAUUUAGAUCCCUAUCCAUGUGACCACUUUCCAUCAGAAGAUAGCUGUUUGAAUUGUCAGUUCAAAAGCUCCCACUGCCCAGCAAGGCCAAAUGCCAACACACAAAACAACCUUUCAAACCAGUUAAGUUUAUCUCUAUGCCAAACACAGCUUUGAAAUACAAGUUUAGAUAGAAUGUGAACUGCUGAUGAAGAAUUGCUUCAAUGGAAUCAGCCCUGUAAAGGGCCAAAGGAGUAAACGUGAUCUUCCACGUGAAUGAACUGCAAUGGCUGCAUAUUGAUGAGACACAUUCAAGUCUUACCUUCAGUGGUGCAGUCAAAAGUAGACUCUUUCCUCGAUUGGGUAUGAAAGCCUAUUUAUAAACAGCUUUACCAGCUCUGUGGUACUAGAGAGUUGGACGACUGGAAGAGAGGAUGGAAGUUCUGCC